rnacentral:lncRNA from 1 species
UCGUUUGAACGAGUGCCUCAAACUCUUCAUGAACUCUCUCAAAAACAUUGGGAGCUUUCACAUCACUAAUCGAGGUGUUCUCGUCAAUGUCGUCGCGGAUUCCGUGACUUUCCUUGUGAUGGUGUUGUGAUUUCUUAGUAUGCACAUCAUGACCCUUUGCUUCUUUCUUUGGAUGAAUCGUUUGAACGAGUGCCUCAAUCUCUUCAUGAACUCUCUCAAAAACAUUGGGAGCUUUCACAUCACUAAUCGGGGUGUUCUCAUCAAUGUCAUCGCGGAUUCCGUGACUUUCCUUGUGAUGGUGUUGUGAUUUCUUAGUAUGCACUCAUGACCCUUGCUUCUUUCUUUGGAUGAAUCGUUUGAACGAGUGCCUCAAUCUCUUCAUGAACUCUCUCAAAAACAUUGGGAGCUUUCACAUCACUAAUCGGGGUGUUCUCAUCAAUGUCAUCGCGGAUUCCGUGACUUUCCUUGUGAUGGUGUUGUGAUUUCUUAGUAUGCACAUCAUGACUCUUUGCUUCUUUCUUUGGAUGAAUCGUUUGAACGAGUGCCUCAAUCUCUUCAUGAACUCUCUCAAAAACAUUGGGAGCUUUCACAUCACUAAUCGGGGUGUUCUCAUCAAUGUCAUCGCGGAUUCCGUGACUUUCCUUGUGAUGGUGAUGUGAUUUCUUAGUAUGCACAACGGCUUUAAUCUUUUCCUUAGAUCUUUCAAGUAUAUUAGGCGCUUUUACAUCUUUAUCUGGCAACACAAUGAACAGUAUCACAUCUUCAUGUAAAUUCACAUAAAUGGCACAUUACAUAGUACAUACAAAGAGAGAUGCACUUUCAUGCCUAAUUUGCCCUUCUAUGCUUAAUGGGAUGAUCACCAAUUCACAAACAACAUUGCCCCCCCAAAAGGAGAAUUUCUCAAGCUCUCUCACCAUGUAUAUACAUGUACACUAAAAGGUUUGAAUCAGAGAUUAAGCAGUUUAAAGAGGUAAAAUGUAAGAAAUU